rnacentral:tRNA from 1 species
UGCAUCGGCCGGGAAUCGAAUCCGAGCCUGGCGCCGCGUGGCAGGCGAGCAUUCUACCACUGAACCACUGAUGG